GGGAGCAAACAGGAUUAGAUACCCUGGUAGUCCACGCCGUAAACGAUGAGUGCUAAGUGUUGGAGGGUUUCCGCCCUUCAGUGCUGCAGCUAACGCAUUAAGCACUCCGCCUGGGGAGUACGACCGCAAGGUUGAAACUCAAAGGAAUUGACGGGGGCCCGCACAAGCGGUGGAGCAUGUGGUUUAAUUCGAAGCAACGCGAAGAACCUUACCAGGUCUUGACAUCCUUUGACCACUCUAGAGAUAGAGCUUCCCCUUCGGGGGCAAAGUGACAGGUGGUGCAUGGUUGUCGUCAGCUCGUGUCGUGAGAUGUUGGGUUAAGUCCCGCAACGAGCGCAACCCUUAUUGUUAGUUGCCAUCAUUCAGUUGGGCACUCUAGCAAGACUGCCGGUGACAAACCGGAGGAAGGUGGGGAUGACGUCAAAUCAUCAUGCCCCUUAUGACCUGGGCUACACACGUGCUACAAUGGGAAGUACAACGAGUUGCGAAGUCGCGAGGCUAAGCUAAUCUCUUAAAGCUUCUCUCAGUUCGGAUUGCAGGCUGCAACUCGCCUGCAUGAAGCCGGAAUCGCUAGUAAUCGCGGAUCAGCACGCCGCGGUGAAUACGUUCCCGGGCCUUGUACACACCGCCCGUCACACCACGAGAG
rnacentral:rRNA from 1 species